rnacentral:lncRNA from 1 species
GCAAAACGCCUCGCCAAGAAACCGUCAAGCUUGCCAUCGACAGCGGUGAGCAGAUCGUCGACACCUUUGAGGACAUUAACCUCAAAUGGCUCUACGUGGUCCAAACAUUCCCGACCGGCCAGGUAACACGUCGCUUCGAGCUAACCUUCCACAAGAAACACAAAGACAAAGUCCUGACCUCCUACUUGCGCCAUGUGGUCACUCGGGCUGAAGCCAUUAAAAAAGAGGAAAAGAUUCUCAAACUUCGUAGCGUUAACUCACCAUCACGAGUGGAUCUGGAGCACCCAGCCACGUUCGAGACGAUCGCCAUGGAGCCCGACCAGAAGACAAAGAUUAUCAAGGACUUGGACAGAUUUGUGAGAAGGAGGGAGUUUUAUAAGAAGGUGGGGAAGGCCUGGAAAAGAGGCUACUUGUUGUAUGGCCCUCCUGGCACUGGCAAGUCGAGCUUGAUUGCAGCCAUGGCUAAUCAUCUCAAGUUUGACGUGUAUGAAUUGGAGCUCGACGGUAUUUGCAGUGACUCUCAGUUGAAGAGAGUGUUGCUAUCCACUAAAAAUCGUUCUAUUUUGGUGAUUGAGGAUAUUGAUUGCACCGUCCGUGACAUGCAAGACCGGAAAUCGGAGCAGCCCACGGUUAGUACAUACUCUUUUUUUAUAUGUAGAUUUUUUUGGGGCAUUCACAUAGUGUUCUGUUGAUAUUUGCAGUUCACACUCUCAGGCCUGCUAAACUUCAUGGAUGGUCUGUGGUCAAGCUGCGGUGACGAGAGAAUUAUUGUGUUCACAACAAAUCACAAGGAUCGGCUUGAGCCUGCACUGUUGCGUCCUGGUCGAAUGGACGUCCACAUUCACAUGUCGUAUUGCACUCCACAUGCGUUUAGGGUCUUGGCCUCCAACUACCUUGGCAUUCAAGACUUGAAUCAUCAUGGCCUUUACGGAGAAAUCACAGGCUUGCUAGAGAGCACAGAGGUCACCCCUGCUGAGGUCUGUGAGCAACUGUUGAAGAGAGAUGAUGAUGUUGACGACGAUGAUGCUGAUGCUGCUCUUGCUGGACUUGUCAACUUUCUCAAACUCAAGAAGCUUGAAGAGACUAAUAAUAUUGAUAAACCAGAAACUCAAGAAGGAUCUCAAUGUUAAUGAUGAUGACGGUGACAACUCCUCCACCUAGCAUGAGCUAGGGCAGUAGAAUAAGUUGGUGUCAUUUGUCCCAUCUGAUUAUGAAGUAAUGUAUGGUUAUAUUCAGACUCUUCCCUUUUUUUUCUUUCUUAAUUAUAGCGUACCUACCAAAGUAGAGAAAUUAUGUGGAAAAAGACCUGCAAACAGAGACCUUGACUUUUGGUCAACAAGGAAGGCAAAGAGAAGCGACCACCAGCAUUUGAUGGAAAUUUCUGUUCUUAUACGACUUCUAACAAGUCUCGUUGACUUAGGGUCCCUUUUUGGGGUUGACACGUAAUUGUGACCAUAAGGAAAAUUCUACCAUGUUGCAUUUUCUGAAACGAAAUCCAUACCAAAUGAUCUUUCUGAACCUCUUAACUAUACCUCUGCAGAAGUCUUGGCAAUCUUGCUCUGAUCAAACAUGAUCCAAUGGUGUGCAGAGAAAAUUACAAAAGUGACAAACGUAAUAAGUUUCACUUCCCCCUGGCUCAAUUCUACUUUUUUCUUACAUCCUUAAUCAACCAAUGCAAAUAUAUUCCAUUCCUUAUCAGUUGUCCCAUUAAUAUAUUUAUGAAAUACCAUAUCAGUUUGCAAACAUUUUUAGAUUUGGUUGAGCUUGAGACAUGGUUGUUCAAGGGAAUAAGGGGAUUGAGAAUUGUUGAUUUUCAAGUAGGAGUUGGAGACGGUGUUGUUCAACCUCACAACUUAAUAAGCAUAUAUACUUCCACAAUCAACGCCACCUCACUCGAUCAACACUUGAUUUCGUUGAAUUAAACUAAUUUCUCUUGUAUUAAGAUACCAAGUUGACAACUCCUAAAUUAUCUUCUAAGUUUAUUGCCCUGCUAGCACUUGGUAUCGAUUCGAAGUUGCUAGGCUAGUUUAUUUUCCUAAAAUCGGUUCAUCAGUCUGUCAAUUCCUCACUUACUUUCUAUGUAAGUUAUUGUUUAUAAUUAAUUGAAUCGAGAAAUCUUCUGUUUAUUUGUGAAUUUUUAUUUUUAGAAAAAUUCCAUGUAUGAGGUUAAGUGCAUCUCUUAAUUAGAACAUCUAUAGUGGGGUGAUGUAUAAUAGGAUGUAUGUUAAAUAUACACCCGUUAUGAUCGGAAUUACUCGUAAUAAGGGUGUAAAUAAAUGUAUAAUUACAUCACCACCAUGAGAUGUAAAUUUAGAUGCAAUUGUACAUAUUUUUUUACAUUCCCAUUGCGGAUGGAACCCAACUGAAAAAAAAAGAGGAAAAAUAGAGAAAAGUCAGAAUAAAAAGGUGGGACCCAGCUAACAACAAUGGUGCAUGCAACGGUAUGGCUCGAUUUUGUCCUCAUCCCAUUUCUUCCUUUUUUUAAUUCAACUUGUUUCCACGGUCUCUCCCAUCUCUCUACUUUUGAUAUUUAUUUAUAAUUUCAUAUAUAUAUAUAUAUAUAUAAUUAAAUUAAUAAUUUACUUACUUUCCAACCUUAAGACGGAGACUCGGUAUAGAGAAAUUAUUGUAUGAUAUCGUAUCAUCACUUCAAUUGAUGAUACUUCCGUUUAUCUUUCAUAGAAGAUUAUAACCUUUUUUUUAAAGCAUAAUUAAAAACAUCAAUUUCACCUUUUUGAAUAAACUUUUUUAAAAAGCUUUAAUUGUUUUAGAAAAUGACAUAUUGCACAUUUUUAGAUUAAAUGUACUUUACAAUCCAACGAUUCUUUUUUAAUGAAAUUAUAUUUUCUCCAAAUUCAAAUAUUUUUAGGUCUAUUUGUUUGAAAAAAUAAAAUUAACCUAAUACAAAAAAAAAAUUAAUUUUAUAAAGUAAACACAAAAUAUAAAUUUAACACAAAAACAAAUUAAGACAAACAAAUCAAUUAUACAUCUUUAGAUUUACUUCGUUUUUUAUUGGAGAAAAAAACGUAUUUACACUUCCCGAAUGUGUAAAGGAGAUAUAAAAGUGUCUUUACACCCCCGAAAAUACACCUCCUACUGUAGAAGCUCUUAGGUAUUUGAUAAUUUUUUGAUUUUGUGUUAUGUUGACAUUUGCAGUUCACACUCUCGGGCCUACUAAACUUCAUGGAUGGUCUGUGGUCAAGUUGCGGUGAUGAAAGAAUUAUUGUGUUCACAACAAACCACAAGGAUGACGAUGAUGAUGCUGCUCUUGUAAGAGUUGUCAAGGUCACCCCUGCUGAGAUUUGUGAGGAAGUACUGAAGAAAAAUGACGAGGACGAGGACGACGAUGAUGAUGCUGCUCUCGAAAGAGUUGUCGACCUUCUCAAACUUGAGAAGCUUGAAGGGACUAAUAAUAUUGAAAAGACAGAAAUGCAAGCAGAAAAAAGGCAGGAAAAUGGAUCUCAGGUGAAUGAUGAAAGUGACAACUCAUGCAUCCAACAUGAGCUAUAGCGAUCCCCUUUUAGAUAAGUCUUUUUGUUAUUAGUACUUUUGUAGGAAAAGAAAUCUGGAUGUCAAGUACUCUAAUCCCAGUUUUGUUUGGUGUCCUGUCAGGUGUUGUCCUAUUAUCCUAUCUGAUUAUGAUGUAAUCACUUUGGUUAUAUCGAUAAAUAAAGUAAGUAAUGGUAUGGUUAGUUCAAAUUCUAUUCAAACUCUAAUAUUAUUUUCUUUCACGAAUGUGCGCUAGCAACAUAUAUACAUAAGGUGGUGUGGUGUUUUUGUUGUUAAGAGGUAGAAAGAAAAUUUACUCGCACACACACAAGUGCCUAGAAAUUUCGAAUAUGAGAUGAUUGGUCUUAAGUCAAACAUACUUUUUCACUACGGUAUGAUCCUAUUAGCUUCAUACUCUCUUGUUUCACUCUAGAGUGCAAGUGGCUACUUUUGAAAUGAAAUAAUUAACAACAGUUACUUUCUUAAUUAUAUCAUAGUUUACUUACCAAAGUGGAGAAGAUUUAUAUUUUUUGUUGUACUUCUUCAUAGGUUUUGAAUUUUGAUGCAACCAGAAGCUUUUUGUGUGUGUUGUUGCAUGUGAAUGGCGGGAAAAGAAUGGCAACUGUGUGAAAUUGAUCAAGUUAAGAUCAAUCCGGUAUGAUUGAAAACAUCAAAGCCAUCAAAUUAGUCAUGGUCUGCUCUAGGUUUCUUUAUUCAUUUUGGCCUCAAAUAUUAAAUACAUGUGUUUAAAAAGCAAUAACAAUCUAAUCAAAUAACUCACCCAACCCAACUCCUACGUUCAACGUAUAGUCCUAACACAAUCAAAUGUUUUAUUGAAUAUUUAUCCAGAGACUUACCUAUAAACUAGGUCACCUAGCACACUAAAAAAAAAAACCACGUACAGUAAAAAAAAGAUAUCUAGCAUAAGGAGAAAUUCGACCAAAACAAAAAAAAAUAGCAUAAGGAGAAAAAAGAGGGACUAUUGUCAACUAAACGACAAUAACCUACACAAAACACAAUGCACGCGGUUUUGACUGGUGGUGUACAAGUAGACUUCUUUGUCGAUCUUGCCAUGUGCAAUUGUCUGUGGCUGUGGUUUCACUAGUACUGUAUAUGAAUUUACCCCCCAAGUAACAAACCUCAAAUAUAUAUCCCCAAAUUUGAUUAAAAAAUCCCCCAACAAGAACAUCUCCUUCUUCUUCUUCUUCUUCUUCUUCUUCUUCUCAACCUCUGCCUUGCUUACCUUGCAUCCAUCCAUCCGCCAUGAAUUUCAUCGUGGAGGAACUCAUGCUUUUCAUUUCCACUGCCCUCAAUUACCUUGCUACCCUUUUCUCCCCUGGCCAUUAUCAUCAUGACCUCACUUUCAUCAUCCGCCAGAAGAGCACGCCACCCAACCAAGUCUACGACGCCGCCGAGCUCUACCUCCCAUCCAUCGAGUUGAUCAAUCCCUCCACUCGUACUAUCGGCGUCAGCAAAACACCGCGGCAAGAAGCCGUCAAGCUUGCCAUGGAAAGCGGUGAGCAGAUCGCCGACACCUUUGAGGACAUUAACCUCAACUGGCUCUACGUGGUCCAAACAUUCCCGAGCGGCCAGGUAACACGUCGCUUCGAGCUAACCUUCCACAAGAAACACAAAGACAAAGUCCUGACCUCCUACUUGCGCCAUGUGGUUACUCGGGCUGAAGCCAUUAAAAAAGAGGAAAAGAUUCUCAAACUUCGUAGCGUUAACUCACCAUCACGAGUGGAUCUGGAGCACCCAGCCACGUUCGAGACGAUCGCCAUGGGGCCCGACCAGAAGACAAAGAUUAUAAAGGACUUGGACAGGUUUGUGAGGAGGAGGGAGUUUUAUAAGAAGGUGGGCAAGGCUUGGAAAAGAGGCUACUUAUUGUAUGGCCCUCCUGGGACUGGCAAAUCCAGCUUGAUUGCAGCCAUGGCUAAUCAUCUCAAGUUUGACGUGUAUGAAUUGGAGCUUGAUGGUAUUUACAGUGACUCUCAAUUGAAGAGCGUGUUACUGUCCACUGCAAAUCGUUCUAUUUUGGUCAUUGAGGAUAUUGAUUUCAGCGCCGUUAAUGCGCGAAAACGAAAGUGCGGGGUUAGUACCUACCUAUACCUACCUAAAUUUUUCUGUGAAUUAGGUGUUCGAUAAUUUUUGGUUUAUUUUUUGGUGUAACAUAGUAAAAAUUUAAUUACUAUGCUGAUAUUUGCAGAUCACGGUCUCAGGCCUGCUAAACUUCAUGGAUGGUCUGUGGUCGAGCUGCGGUGACGAGAGAAUUAUUGUGUUCACAACAAACCACAAGGAUCGGCUUGAGCCUGCAUUACUGCGUCCUGGUCGAAUGGACGUCCACAUUCACAUGUCCUAUUGCACUCCGCAUGCGUUUAAGGUUUUGGCCUCCAACUACCUUGGUGUUCAGGACUUGGACCGUCAUCCUCUUUAUGGAGAAAUCGCGGGGUUGCUAGAGAGCACAGAGGUCGCCCCUGCUGAGGUUUGUGAGGAGCUAUUGAAGAGAGAUGAUGAUGUUGACGAUGAUGAUGUUGAUGCUGCUCUCGAAGGAGUUGUCAAAUUUCUCAAACUCAAGAAGCUUGAAGGGGAUAAUAAUAAUAUUGAUGAACCAGAAUUUCAAGAAGGAAAAAGGCAGGAUGUGGAUGUCAGUGUUAACGAUGACGACAGUGAGAGCUCAAGCACCUGAAAUAAUCGACCAUAGCUUUAUCUAGCUAGGCAGUAGAAUAAGUUGCAUCUUCCGAUGGCCUAGCUAGUCCCUUUGGCUUUAAGUACUUUUGUCUUUGAGUUUAAGUACUUUUGUAUUUGGUUUUGUUUGGUGUUAUGUUUCUCCUUUCUGUUUGGCUAUCCUUGCGGGGUGCUAUGCUAUCCUUGUUAUGGUUAUUAUAUGUCCUCGUCUCGCUCUCCUUCUAGCAGAAUUGAUAGGGGUAGAUGGUCCUGGUAUUUAUCCAGAAAAUUUGGUGGGCCGAAAAUGAAAUUUCACAUGUUGAGAUUUACACAAUUUGCAUAUUUUUAUAGAAUUUGAGCUCGGAAUUUUGGAUUGUGAAAUCCCCUAAUAUUGCUCGCAUGCAAUUUGCAAAAUACUGAGUUGAUAGUAUUGGAAAUGCUGCAAAAUGCUCCGUUUUCCAUGAGUGAAAUCCCGAUUUCUGCUCAUAUCCCAUCUUUUUCCCCUCAUCCAAACACUGGCUGCUAUUUGAAAUGCAAUAAUCCAAAGUGGAGAAAUUAUGUGGAAGAAGUCGUCUUCGUCCCUAUUGCUAUGCAAAUGUGUAUGGCCGACCAGCAUGCACAUGUCCAUUUGGCUUUUUGUGGUUCCAUGUCUUUUGCAAGGGAUUGUGGGGUCUACCCAAACCUGAAUUUUUUUUCUUCUUUUUGUUCUUGCAAAUCAAGCAACCUCAACUAUAUAUAUAACCAAAUUUUGAUAGAAACAAAAAAAAAAUCCACCCAACAGGAGCAUCCUCCUUCUUCUCAACCUCUGCCUCCCUUGCCUUGCAUCCAUCCAUCCGCCAUGAAUUAUCAUCAUGGCCUUACUUUGAUCAUCCGCGAGGAGGGCUCGCCAUCCAACCAAGUCUACGACGCCGCCCACCUCUACCUCCCAAGCAUUCAAUUGAUCAAUCCCUCCACUCGGACCAUCGGAGUCACCAAAACACCGCGCAGAGAAACGGUCAAGCUCGCCAUUGAAAGCGGUGAGCAAGUCCCCGACACCUUUGACUGCAUUGACCUGAACUGGCUUUACGUGGUCGAAAAAUGUCCGGACGGCUGUGUUGAACGUCGCUUUGAGCUGACGUUUCAAAAGGAACACAAAGACAAAGUCAUGACCUUCUACUUGGCCUAUGUUGUUCGUCGCGCCGAAGUCAUUAAACAAGAGAGCAAGAUUCUCAACCUCCGCAAAGUUAACUCAUACGACCAAGUCGAAUUCGAGCACCCGGCUACGUUUGAGACGAUAGCCAUGGAGCCCGGCCUAAAGCGAAAGAUUAUAAAGGAUUUGGAGAGGUUUGUGAGCAGGAGGGAGUUUUAUAAGAAGGUGGGCAAGGCUUGGAAAAGAGGCUACUUGUUGUAUGGCCCACCUGGCACUGGAAAAUCCAGCUUGAUUGCAG